rnacentral:rRNA from 1 species
GACGAACGCUGGCGGCGUGCUUAACACAUGCAAGUCGAACGAAGUGGCGCACGGGUGAGUAACGCGUAAUCAACCUGCCCUUCAGAGGGGGACAACAGUUGGAAACGACUUCUAAUACCGCAUACUGAAGGCGGGGUUGGCGUCUGAUUAGCUAGUUGGGGGGGUAACGGCCCACCAAGGCGAUGCACAGUAGCCGGUCGGAGAGGAGGAACGGCCAAAUUGGGACUUAGACACGGCCCCGACUCCGACGGGGUGCAGCAGGGGGGAAUCUUCCGCAAUGGAGGAAAGUCCGACGGGGCAACGCCGCGGGAGGGAUGACGGCCUUCGGGUUGGAAAGCUCUGUUAAUCGGGACGCGGUACCGGAAUAGAAAGCCACGGCUAACUACGUGCCAGCCGCCGCGGUAAUAC